AUUGAACGCUGGCGGCAUGCUUUACACAUGCAAGUCGAACGGUAACAGGCCGCAAGGUGCUGACGAGUGGCGAACGGGUGAGUAAUGCAUCGGAACGUGCCCAGUCGUGGGGGAUAACGCAGCGAAAGCUGCGCUAAUACCGCAUACGAUCUGAGGAUGAAAGCGGGGGACCGUAAGGCCUCGCGCGAUCGGAGCGGCCGAUGUCAGAUUAGGUAGUUGGUGGGGUAAAGGCUCACCAAGCCGACGAUCUGUAGCUGGUCUGAGAGGACGACCAGCCACACUGGGACUGAGACACGGCCCAGACUCCUACGGGAGGCAGCAGUGGGGAAUUUUGGACAAUGGGCGCAAGCCUGAUCCAGCAAUGCCGCGUGCAGGAAGAAGGCCUUCGGGUUGUAAACUGCUUUUGUACGGAGCGAAAAGGCUCUCUCUAGUACAGGGGGCUCAUGACGGUACCGUAAGAAUAAGCACCGGCUAACUACGUGCCAGCAGCCGCCGUAAAAC
rnacentral:rRNA from 1 species